AUAUAGGGUUAUCUCACAUUAGCAACAACCGACUUUUACAGAACACAGUUUUCUGAGGACGAGUUCAUUAACACUGGGAAAUAUCCUCUUACAAUGAAUUCAUUAAGAAGUGUGAAGACCUUGAUAAGAUUACUGUCAGUUAUGUAUUUGCUCUCCAACUCAUGCAGGUCCCACUAGUAACUGAGGAGGUUGUUGUUGCUGUUCUUGAUUUGUAUCCUACACUUUUAUCAUUUGUUCAUGCUUCCGGUAAGCAAAGUUUUAUGGAGUUAAAACAAAAGGUUUCCUGGACC